AAUGAACGCUGGCGGCGCGCCUAAUACAUGCAAGUCGAGCGAGAAGACGUAGCAAUACGUUUGUAAAGCGGCGAACGGGUGAGGAAUACAUGGGUAACCUACCCUCGAGUGGGGAAGUAACUAGCCGAAAGGUUAGCUAAUACCGCGUACGCUCUUGGACUUCGGUUCAGGGAGGAAAGACGAUGCCGAGGGUAUCGCGCUCUUGGAUGGGCGUCAUGUCCUAUCAGCUUGUUGGGAGGUAACGGCUCACCAAGGCUUCGACGGGUAGCUGGUCUGAGAGGACGAUCAGCCACACUGGCACUGCGACACGGGCCAGACUCCUACGGGAGGCAGCAGUAAGGAAUAUUGCGC
rnacentral:rRNA from 1 species